rnacentral:ncRNA from 2 species
UACUUGUGUAGAGGAGCGAUCACUAUAAGUAUUUUUUCUGAGUGGAUAACGAAGAGGAAAAAGGAAAGGAGUGACCGCCGAAAUCAAUUGAAAGUCAUUUUGAUUGGUUGGUGGCGUAUUCGAAAGGAACGUCAUUGUCAUAGUCUUUUUUAAACUAUGGAGCGCUACUGGUUGG